rnacentral:misc_RNA from 1 species
GAUGAAGAACGCAGCGAAAUGCGAUAAGUAAUGUGAAUUGCAGAAUUCAGUGAAUCAUCGAAUCUUUGAACGCACCUUGCGCCCUUUGGCUAUUCCGAAGGGCAUGCCUGUUUGAGUAUCAUGAACACCUCAACUCUUCACGGCUUGCCGUGAUGAGUUUGGACUUUGGGGGUCUUGCUGGCCUACGAGCCAGCUCCUCUCAAAUGUAUUAGCUUGCCGGUGUUUGGUGGCAUCACAGGUGUGAUAACUAUCUACGCUUGUGGUUUUCCACUAGGUAACCCUCAGCAAUGGAGGUUCACCGGAGCUCACAAAUGUCUCUCCUUGCCAAGGACAGAUUUUGACCAUUUGAUCUCAAAUCAGGUAGGACUACCCGCUGAACUUAAGCAUAUCAAUAAGCGGAGGA